UACGUAGGGGGCUAGCGUUGUCCGGAUUUAUUGGGCGUAAAGAGCGUGUAGGCGGCCAGGUAGGUCUGGUGUGAAAACCUCGAGGCUUAACCUCGAGAUGUCAUCGGAAACCAUCUGGCUAGAGUCCGGAAGAGGAGAGUGGAAUUCCUGGUGUAGCGGUGAAAUGCGCAGAUAUCAGGAAGAACACCAAUGGCGAAAGCAGCUCUCUGGGACGGUACUGACGCUGAGACGCGAAAGCGUGGGGAGCGAACAGG
rnacentral:rRNA from 1 species